rnacentral:rRNA from 1 species
GAGUGUAAAAACUCCUAAACCCUUUGUGAAUCUACCUAUUCAUUGUUCCUUCGGUAGGCGGUCCCUGGGAGGGACCUAUAGCCCAGAUGGGUGCCUGCCGAAGAACGUCUCAAACCCUGUUACCGUGGUGUUAUUCUGAGUAACUACAAAAUAAGAUAAAAACUUUCAACAACGGAUCUCUUGGUUCUGGCAUCGAUGAAGAACGCAGCGAAAUGCGAUAAGUAAUGUGAAUUGCAGAAUUCAACGAAUCAUCGAAUCUUUGAACGCAUAUUGCGCCCAUUAGUAUUCUAGUGGGCAUGCCUGUUCGAGCGUCAUUUCAACCCUCAAGCCCUAGUUGCUUGGUGUUGGGGCAAACUGCGAGCAAUUGCAGGCCCUGAAAAUCAGUGGCGGGCUCGCUGUGGACCCGAGCGUAGUAAAUUUACCCUCGCUUAGGGCACAUGGCGGGUAUCCAGCCGUGAAAACCCUCACUAUAUUUAAAGGUUGACCUCGGAUCAGGUAGGAAUACCCGCUGAACUUAAGCAUAUCAAUAAGCGGAGGA